GUUAAACUCAGAGUACAAUAGUGUAGAGCUUGUGGGAAAAGCAGAAGGAAGGGGACCCGCCGCUAGAUGAGCUGUUUAGGAGCUAUGCGUAGUGCCCUUAGCCCAUACAUGAAUAAAAGGGAAAGCAAUUAGACAAUAGUCAUAAAGAAGUCCAGCUCAGUGCAGAUUCCCCCAUGAUAAUGACUUCAAUAUGAUUUUGGAAAUAUUAGAUAACUCAUUAUGUGCUAUUUACACACUGAUUUGCAUGCUCAGACUUUCUGGUGUCUUGCAGAUGACCUGAGAGGGAGCAUCUAAAAAUCCUCUGGCAGAGGAGGGGACACUUUGAGCUUCUAUAAGUAGGUGUGUUGGCUGACAAGAAGUUCAAUUGUUUGCACAGCUGGCAUUAAGGGUUUUUGAUAAUGUGUUGAGCCUCUUAGAAGAAAAGCCCUGCUUAAAUCAAAGGAGCUCCAUAAACUAAUAAACCUUGUAUUUCUUUUAAUGAGUCAGGGAGCAAAAUAUUCCUCAUAGGGAUUUACUACAUGAAUGAGUGUGUGUGUGUGGUUUUUUUUUUACUCUAUUACCUUGCCCAUUGGAUUGCUGAAAUGGUUUGCUCAUGGCCUCUGAUAAUUAAGUGCCUUUCGGACGUACGUCUGCCAGCAGCAUCUUGAUAGUUCACCUGUGCCAGUCCCCUGCUGCACUGUUAAGUUCCAGGCAAAUGUGCUCUCUCAGGAGGAGUCACUUGUCUGAUGUUUCUCUAUAGGUCCAGCGACUUGCAAGCCACUGCUUCUCAAGUGCUGGCCUGUACAAGCCUCAGGAUAUAUGGCUGCUUUUAGUGCUAUUUGCCAUCAUUAAGAGCCUGUCCGAGUGGAAAUGAUGUCUCAUGAUAAUCACUCCGCCUACCCGAUGCCAGGUUGGAAAAAAAGAUAAUUAUGAGCAAGAAUGCCCAAGAAAAGUACCGACUGCCGGAUCCCCUAAUCAAUGAGGGGUCCAUCUGGAAACACAAAUGGAACAACUUUGAUUAAAUAUACAAACUCGCUGACCAGAUCAGCAAAAGGGAGAAUGGCAGCUUUUUAUUGAAUGCUUGCAUGUUUUUUUUAUUACUUUGAAAUGUUCUUGCAUAUGUUUCUCUUGGCCCCGAGGAGAAGUAAAACGUUGAUUAGCACAAUUCAAAGUUAUAAUAAGGGCUGACGAUUCAGUUGAGAUGGCUUUCAAGAUUAGAUGUGUAGGUGAGGGGUAAAUGCAAAACUCUAUCUCUGGAACAUUCUGCUGUAGACCUGCUGGGCUUUGGAAUCUCAGAGAGUAAAAGUGAUCAUUUAUUGAGCUGUUAUUGUGCCUCAGUGACUCAUUUGGAAUUCCUGGAUUCAGUUGUUACUGGAACAACUUUAGGAGGAGUCAGUGUCACUCCCAUUUUACAGAUGGGAAAUCUUAGGAUAAAGAAUUUAUAGUGUUACGUGGUUGGUGAUAGACCUAGGGGUCUGUCUAGGCCUUCUUGCUUCAGAGCUCAUCCUGUCACUCUUGGUUUACAUUUAUUGGUUGAUUUCCUAAUUUUACAAUGUGGGGUUAAGAACAGACUCCUUGUAUCCGAACCUGAGGGGGUAGCCUCUUGACUUUCCUUUUUCAUUUUUUCCUCCUUUUCAAAACUGAAGGGAGCAUAGCCACUGUUGGUCACACACCCUUUGUAUAGGUCAUAGAUUGACUCAAUGACGUUCACCACUUGUAUUUGUAGCAAUUUAAGUCAUUGCAGGAUUUUAUCUUUGACAAUUAUUUUUAUCAGUUUUAGCAACAGCAGCUUGGGGAGAUGGUGUUUCUGAACCUGCAGCUUAGUCCUGUUCUGAUGUCUCCCUCAGUGAGCCUUCUCUCCCAUCCCUGUCACCUCCCUGUCACCUCCCUGGAGCUACUAAAUGAUUUCAUAGCCAGCCAAGAGGGUUGGGUGCUCUGAGUAACUCCUAAAGGUAGGGAAGACUGAAAGUAGAAGCCAAGGGCGAUGAGGGCAUCUCAGGGAAAGAACCUAAGAGAUGAGAGAGGUGCCUGGAGAGACUGCAGCUACCCAGUGCUGUGCUAUUGCGAGUUGCUUAGCUGUACAUCUUUGGGAACUCUGUGUCUUUACCCCUUUAGGAAGGAUGUGACUCUGUAGCCCAUUAGAGUCUUCUACACUGCUCAGAGUAUCUUGAGACAGUGCUACUACUAAUUUAAAUACACUCAAGGGAAUUUAGGGUUUUUUUCAUAUUUAUUAGUGUAGGCAGGCCUCCUUUGUUAUUCUUGUUUCUUGCUUUACAUAAGUAAACUUUCCUGGCAAAUCAAAACCAAAAGCUACAAUUGAUAAUAAAUGGUGAUGGAAUUUGAAUUUUCAAUGAGUAUGCAAAUACAUUAAAGAGACACAUAUCUUGAUUCUGACAACAGAGCCUAAUACAUAGAUCAUCACCAGUAAGUGAUUCAAAUAAGAAUGACUCAGAAUACUAUUUUAGUGACUUUUUAAAAAAACUUUUCUUUAAGGUUACGUAAAUACAAAGAAUACAUUUUUCAACUUUAAAAAAUGCAAUCCUCCCCCCUCCAAGAAAAAUAUCAGUGGUUUGCUUAACAUCAGCAUCACACUUUUGGUUUCACCCAUGUUGAUGUGUCAGUUUGGUUCAGUUUGGUUCUUCAGAGAAUUCUCAAAGUUUAUAUGACUAGAGAAUGUUUCCUCCCAGAGUCCCAUCUGUGUCUGGUUUCCUGCUGUUGGAGGUGGAUGGCUCCGUUGUCUGCUUCUUAGAGCAGUGGUCCUCACCCUGAAGCUGUGACCCUUUAAUAUAUUUCUUCGUAUCAGUUUUGUUGCUACUUCAUAACUGAAAUUUUGCUACUGUUAGGAAUUGUAAUGUAAAUGUUUUUGGCGUUAGAUGGUGGGAACUGUGGCUCCCACCAUGUGUGCCCAUGUGAGGAGAUUCUGUCCUGAGAUCACAACAACCAUACACACUUUAGUUUUACUGGGCAAUGUCAACAUUUUCCCAGAACAGUUGUGCGAAUAUACCUCUCACCCGGAGGAUACAGAAAUUCCUGUUGCUUUGGAUACUCGCUGACACUUGGGUUGUCGGCUAUGUGCAGUUUCUGUUCUCUGUGGUUUAUUCAUUAUACCGUUCAUCAUUGCUAAGUCUGAUGUAAUGUCUUACUGACUACCAGUGUUUGUUUUUGUGAUAUACAACAUAAUUUUAUUCUG
rnacentral:lncRNA from 1 species